rnacentral:lncRNA from 1 species
GCAUGUUGCUCGAUCCUGAUCCAGCGACGGAUCCGCCCCCUGAUGACGCGCCUCCACCGCCACCGAGCCUGCGACGACGCAUGCCGGCCGUAGCGGCGGCGGAUCCACGGGGAGCGGCCAGACCGGGCCUGGCGGUUGAUGAAGCGGUGGAGGUUGAUUGUUGGGACUGGGAAGAGCCUCUCGCCAUUGUUGUGUUGUACGGAAAAGGGUAAAGAGAGAGGUGAAGGAAGAUGAUAAAGGAGGGUGGUGAAGGAAAGGCAAAAUGGUAAAUAAAGUCAAAUCUGGGGGUACUUUUAGGUGUAUAGAAUGAUCAGGAAGAAACGUGGAGUCGUAGUAGAAACCAAUGAGUCAACUGCUUUGGUUGGGCGUUACUUUCGGUGAGUUGAAUGUUGUACGAUCAAAUAGUAUUUUGGGUAAAGUUUCUAUAAAUACACAAAAUAAUUUAUACUACAGUUUAUGAAAAAACAUGGAUGAAUUAUGGUGAAUAUUUUGGUCCUGAUGGAAGGGUUUUGUUUAUGAAAUUUAAGAUUUUCUCGGAUUUGUUGUACUGUAUCUAAGCCCGAAUAAUAUGGGGCCUUAUUGUUUUGUAAUUUCCAUUAGAGAAGAUAUUGAAAUAUUUAGAAAAAGGGACAUGAAGACAUAAGAAAUUUUGCUAAAGAUAUGGUGGGAAUUGUGUAUUUGCAGCACUCUUUUGACACGAAAAACUGAGUCCGA